rnacentral:rRNA from 1 species
GACGAACGCUGGCGGCGUGCUUAACACAUGCAAGUCGAACGCUGAACCCGCGUCGGUGGGGGCUGAGUGGCGCACGGGUGAGUAACACGUGGGCAACCUGCCCCCGGCUCUGGGAUAACUCCAAGAAAUUGGGGCUAAUACCGGAUGUGACCGCUGUCCGCAUGGUCUGGUGGUGGAAAGGGUUUCCGGCUGGGGAUGGGCCCGCGGCCUAUCAGCUUGUUGGUGGGGUAGUGGCCUACCAAGGCGACGACGGGUAGCCGGCCUGAGAGGGUGACCGGCCACACUGGGACGGAGACACGGCCCAGACUCCAACGGGAGGCAGCAGUGGGGAAUAGUGCGCAAUGGGCGGAAGCCUGACGCAGCGACGCCGCGUGGGGGAUGACGGCCUUCGGGUUGUAAACCACUGUCAGCAGGGACGAAGCGAAAGUGACGGUACCUGCAGAAGAAGCACCGGCCAACUACGUG